rnacentral:rRNA from 1 species
UACAGAGGUCCCGAGCGUUGUUCGGAUUUACUGGGCGUAAAGGGCGCGUAGGCGGCCACCGCAAGUCGGUUGUGAAAUCUCUGGGCUUAACCCAGAAAGGUCAACCGAUACUGCGGGGCUAGAGUGCAGAAGGGGCAACUGGAAUUCUCGGUGUAGCGGUGAAAUGCGCAGAUAUCGGGAGGAACACCAGUAGCGAAGGCGGCUCGCUGGGCCACACCUGACGCUGAGACGCGAAAGCUAGGGGAGCGAACAGG